UGGGGAAUUUUGGACAAUGGGGGCAACCCUGAUCCAGCCAUUCCGCGUGAGUGAAGAAGGCCUUCGGGUUGUAAAGCUCUUUCGGCAGGAACGAAACGGCGAGCUCUAACAUAGCUUGCUAAUGACGGUACCUGAAGAAGAAGCACCGGCUAACUACGUGCCAGCAGCCGCGGUAAUACGUAGGGUGCGAGCGUUAAUCGGAAUUACUGGGCGUAAAGCGUGCGCAGGCGGUUGUGUAAGACAGGUGUGAAAUCCCCGGGCUCAACCUGGGAACUGCAUUUGUGACUGCAUAGCUGGAGUGCGGCAGAGGGGGAUGGAAUUCCGCGUGUAGCAGUGAAAUGCGUAGAUAUGCGGAGGAACACCGAUGGCGAAGGCAAUCCCCUGGGCCUGCACUGACGCUCAUGCACGAAAGCGUGGGGAGCAAACA
rnacentral:rRNA from 1 species